UACGAAGGGUGCAAGCGUUACUCGGAAUUACUGGGCGUAAAGCGUCUGUAGGUGGCUUUUUAAGUCCGCCGUCAAAUCCCAGGGCUCAACUCUGGACAGGCGGUGGAAACUACCAAGCUGGAGUACGGUAGGGGCAGAGGGAAUUUCCGGUGUAGCGGUGAAAUGCGCAGAUAUCGGGAGGAACACCGGUGGCGAAGGCGGUUCUCUGGGCCUGUACUGACGCUGAGGAGCGAAAGCGUGGGGAGCGAACAGG
rnacentral:rRNA from 1 species